rnacentral:rRNA from 1 species
GACCUGGUAAGGUGGUCCGCCUUCACGGUGUGUACUGCUGGACCGGGUUCUACCUCUUGGUGAGCCGGCAUGCCCUUCACUGGGUGUGUCGGGGAACCAGGACUUUUACCUUGAGAAAAUUAGAGUGUUCAAAGCAGGCCUACGCCCGAAUACAUUAGCAUGGCAUAAUAAAAUAGGACGUGCGGUUCUAUUUUGUUGGUUUCUAGAGUCGCCGUA